AAUCUGAUGGCUCAGAUGUGGAUUCAGAUGAAACUGGCCGGCCUCGCUUUUCAUCAUUAAAGAAAGUCACUAGUUUCCUGGACAAGGAAUUUGCUGCCAGCAGGUUUACCAGAAAGGAUCAGGAUGACAUUGAAAAGGAAAUGUUCAAAAUAUAGAGCUUCAAUGAAAUGUGCUGGCUGCCAAGGAAACGGGGAAUGGUCACUAUUAGGCAACUGGGACCCUUUAUGAUCCAGGAGAUGCAACACCCUUGCAACAAAUGCAAGGGUACAGGCGAGAGCAUUGAUGAGAAAGACCGAUGCCCUAAAUGCAAAGGCGAGAAAGAUGUUCUUGAGAAGAAGGUGCUGGAAGUUAUUGUGGAGAAGGGCAUGCAGAAUGGUCAGAAAAUCACAUUACCUAGAGAAGCUGAUGAAGCGAGUAUGCCAUUACUCUGUCCCACAAGAUUCGAAGUGGAGAUGGCAUGUUUAUGUGCCGUGGUUUAUGAAAUCAUUACAGCAAAACAUAACCUAAAACAUGGAUGAUUUGUUAUAAUGUAGAGCAGAGUUACAUGUUGGCUUAAAUUCCCUUUGUACAGUGCGGAUUCAUGUAUGAUGCUCAUGUAGGUGUAGAUUGUUGUUUAUUUAUCAUCAACGGGUUCAUUUUCUCCAUCCAUCAGGAUGAUGUUUCGGGGAUUUACUCUAUACUUGUUAUGAGGCUAUGAGUUUGGGCUUCCUCGAGGUAUACGUAUAUCAUUCGAGUUUAGGAUUUGUCAACACUCACCAGCUUGUUUGAUUCAUUUUCCCUGUGGUC